UUUUCCUCACCUAUCGUCUCUGCAAGCAAGAAUCAUCCUUCAACUUCUACUCAAGUAACCAAAAUCCUCCAGCUUCAAGAACCAUUUUUUUUCUUCCUCAACAUCCGUCUGCAAUUGAAGGUGAGACUUCGCAAGGGAAUCGAGAUACCAAAGGGAAGGAAGUGUAGAGAAUUAAUCAAUUGAGGUUGAGCGGCGACG